rnacentral:rRNA from 1 species
GUAUGCCUAACACAUGCAAGUCGAACGGUAACAGCAGAGCUUGCUAUGGCUGACGAGUGGCGGACGGGUGAGUAACGCUUGGGAAUCUGCCUAGUAGUGGGGGACAACACGGGGAAACUCGUGCUAAUACCGCAUAAGUCCUACGGGAGAAAGUGGGGGAUCUUCGGACAUCACGCUAUUAGAUGAGCCCAAGUCGGAUUAGCUUGUUGGUGAGGUAACGGCUCACCAAGGCGACGAUCCGUAGCUGGUUUGAGAGGAUGACC